rnacentral:rRNA from 1 species
AACGCUAGCUACAGGCUUAACACAUGCAAGUCGAGGGGCAGCAUAGAAGUAGCAAUACUUUGGUGGCGACCGGCGCACGGGUGAGUAACGCGUAUGCAACCUACCUAUCAGAGGGGAAUAACCCGGCGAAAGUCGGACUAAUACCGCAUAAAACAGGGGCACCGCAUGGUGAUAUUUGUUAAAGAAAUUCGCUGAUAGAUGGGCAUGCGUUCCAUUAGGUAGUUGGUGAGGUAACGGCUCACCAAGCCGACGAUGGAUAGGGGAACUGAGAGGUUGGUCCCCCACACUGGUACUGAGACACGGACCAGACUCCUACGGGAGGCAGCAGUGAGGAAUAUUGGUCAAUGGGCGGGAGCCUGAACCAGCCAAGUCGCGUGAAGGAAGAAGGAUCUAUGGUUCGUAAACUUCUUUUGCAGGGGAAUAAAGUGCAGGACGUGUCCUGUUUUGUAUGUACCCUGAGAAUAAGGAUCGGCUAACUCCGUGCCAGCAGCCGCGGUAAUACGGAGGAUCCGAGCGUUAUCCGGAUUUAUUGGGUUUAAAGGGAGCGUAGGCGGACGCUUAAGUCAGUUGUGAAAGUUUGCGGCUCAACCGUAAAAUUGCAGUUGAUACUGGGUGUCUUGAGUACAGUAGAGGCAGGCGGAAUUCGUGGUGUAGCGGUGAAAUGCUUAGAUAUCACGAAGAACUCCGAUUG